CAACUCAUCAAACAGAAAAGUGACCAUGUUUUGCCAGUAAGCUGCCAUGCUGGAGAAGUCCACUUGAUAAGGAACCAGCCAGAUUCAGCCAAGAGCCAGCAAGGUACUGAGGAUCUCAUUCCAACAGACUUUGAUGAACUGCAUCCUGCCAGCAGCUAUGUGACUGAGUACGGGAGUUGGUCCUUCCCCAGUCAAUCCGCCAGAUGAGAAUGUCGUAGCCUCAGCUGACACCUCAAAUGCAACCUUGAAGCAGAGAAUCCAGGUUGCCCUUCUAUGAGAGGGGAUUAAGAAAUAGGCAUUGAGAUUGCAGUCCAAGA